rnacentral:rRNA from 1 species
UACGUAGGGUGCGAGCGUUAAUCGGAAUUACUGGGCGUAAAGCGUGCGCAGGCGGUUCGUUGUGUCGGCGGUGAAAGCCCCGGGCUUAACCUGGGAAUGGCCGUUGAAACUGGCGAACUGGAGUGUGGCAGAGGGGGGUGGAAUUCCGCGUGUAGCAGUGAAAUGCGUAGAGAUGCGGAGGAACACCGAUGGCGAAGGCAGCCCCCUGGGCUAACACUGACGCUCAGGCACAAAAGCGUGGGGAUCAAACAGG